rnacentral:rRNA from 1 species
UACGUAGGGUGCAAGCAUUAAUCGGAUUUAUUGGGCGUAAAGGGCGCGUAGGCGGGAAUGCCAGUCAGAUGUGAAAUCCCGGGGCUCAACCUCGGAACAGCAUUUGAAACUACAUUUCUAGAGGGUAGACGGAGAAAACGGAAAUUCCACAAGUAGCGGUGAAAUGCGUAGAUAUGUGGAAGAACACCAGUGGCGAAGGCGGUUUUCUAGUUUAUACCUGACGCUGAUGCGCGAAAGCAAGGGGAGCAAACAGG